GACCAGCAGAGACACGCACAAAUCCCUCCUGUACAGUUCUAAGCUCUUGGUUUUCAAAAUCCCAUUUUAUCUGAACAUAAACUGACCUUAAGACAUCAGAAAAUAUAUGAAUAUUCUUUUAGAUGGACAUUAACAGAUCAUCCACCUACCUUUCCGAAAACUAAAACACCGUUUGAUUCUUCUGUAUGUAGUUUUAGGAAUGAAAGGAGUUGACGCUAGGGCACCUGAGGGGCGUCCCCCAGUCGUUCGGUCCUCAGGCAUCAUACAGGCCCCAAGUUCUGAACCAGUUUCAGGCUUCUUUUAAGACCUGCCUCUGCGCGAUACCCCACAGCCACUCCUUCUCAUGUUGAUUUGUUAGGGUUGAAGUGCUGAUUCCUAGAACUUGAAGGCUGUUAUCCCCCAGCUCCUGGAUCAGGGAAAAGGACAGAUGGAAGAGGAGGAAAGGGAGAAAAUAGGACACUUUACGGAAAUAAUUCUGAACAAAAAUACUUCCUUCAGGAGAUACUAAGGAUCCUCCUAAACUCAGAAGCCACAGAGAUUUGGUAAUGGGGGAAAGAGAGUCUUUAGAAGACACAUCUUCAGACACCCCACAAAUCCCUGGCUCUGGAGGUACCAGCAAAACUCCAGCAGAUACCGAUCCCUAACUACAUCGCCAAAGGAAGAUUUGGGACAGGAGGCCACUCUGCUCAGAGUGCCAACUACAUCAUGUCACUAGGAUUUUCUCAGUAAAAAAGAGACUACUACUACUAUGUGCAUUACCUUUCUUAAUAAAUAUAUUUAAAGAAA